UACGUAGGGUGCGAGCGUUGUCCGGAAUUAUUGGGCGUAAAGAGCUCGUAGGCGGUCUGUCGCGUCGGUCGUGAAAACUUGGGGCUUAACCCUGAGCUUGCGGUCGAUACGGGCAUGACUGGAGUUCGGCAGGGGAGACCGGAAUUCCUGGUGUAGCGGUGAAAUGCGCAGAUAUCAGGAGGAACACCGGUGGCGAAGGCGGGUCUCUGGGCCGAUACUGACGCUGAGGAGCGAAAGCGUGGGGAGCGAACAGG
rnacentral:rRNA from 1 species